rnacentral:rRNA from 1 species
UACGUAGGGCGCAAGCGUUAUCCGGAAUUAUUGGGCGUAAAGAGCUCGUAGGCGGUUUGUCGCGUCUGCCGUGAAAACCCGGGGCUCAACCCCGGGCCUGCAUUCGAUACGGGCAGACUAGAGUUCGGUAGGGGAGUCUGGAAUUCCUGGUGUAGCGGUGAAAUGCGCAGAUAUCAGGAGGAACACCGGUGGCGAAGGCGGGUCUCUGGGCCGUAACUGACGCUGAGGAGCGAAAGCAUGGGGAGCGAACAGG